rnacentral:rRNA from 1 species
GUGGGGAAUAUUGGACAAUGGGCGAAAGCCUGAUCCAGCCAUGCCGCGUGUGUGAAGAAGGUCUUCGGAUUGUAAAGCACUUUAAGUUGGGAGGAAGGGCAGUAAGUUAAUACCUUGCUGUUUUGACGUUACCGACAGAAUAAGCACCGGCUAACUUCGUGCCAGCAGCCGCGGUAAUACGAAGGGUGCAAGCGUUAAUCGGAAUUACUGGGCGUAAAGCGCGCGUAGGUGGUUUUGUAAGUUGAAGGUGAAAUCCCCGGGCUCAACCUGGGAACUGCCUCCAAAACUACUGAGCUAGAGUACGGUAGAGGGUAGUGGAAUUUCCUGUGUAGCGGUGAAAUGCGUAGAUAUAGGAAGGAACACCAGUGGCGAAGGCGACUACCUGGACUGAUACUGACACUGAGGUGCGAAAGCGUGGGGAUCGAACAGGAUUAGAAAACCCAGUAGUCC